AUAAUUUGCACGGAGGGGCAAGCGCUGCGCGAAGAAGAGGAAGAUAGAGCGAGUCGCGAGCGGAGCUGCUGGCGGCGGAGGAGAUCCUCACAGGCGGUGUGGGGCGUGGACAUGGAAGCUCCGGCGGUGGAUGAGCAUGGUGGCUGGGAACCUCCAGUUCGAAUAGAGAGAGAGAGAACGGGAUGGAGGAAGGAGAGAACAAGAGGAAGAAGAGGGAGAGGAGGAAGGCAGGUCGGCGUUGGGUACCUGGUUCCGUCGGGAGUCGCUGGCGUCGAGGUGGCGGGGCGAGGCAGGGGUCGGGCGCUGGCUCUCGCAAUCCAUACGGGUUCGAGGCAGGGCGUGGGCGGCUCGGGCGCGCCACGCAUGGAGUCUUGUGGGGCGUGGGUCGUUCGACCGAUCUGGAUGAUUCUCCAUCAGUUCUGGUUCCCCACCAUGGCUACGGGCGCCUCUCGCCCUCUCCGUUCUGCACUCCUCCUCCUCCAAUUUAGGUGUGCGACCAUAGCUAAGGGCCGCCUCCUCCUAUCCAUCCUUCCAAUCUGGAGCAUAGGUGGAGAGCCUGGUUGUGCGCGGCGGAGAUGGCGCCCCGCGUCGGCGCCCCGUAAUCCUACACGGAGCUCUGUCGAGGCCAUGACAUCCCCACCCAGGUAUAGGCGCACAUUGAUCUAAAAAAGGCACCAACCCAAUUGAACCUCUCCCUUGACCCUUUCUUCUUCAUCUUCCAAUCUCCUCUGUUAUCAAGUUCUAACAGUACAUCAAUCCAAGCAACUCUUUUUAGAUUAAUUAAGGAAUCAAUAUCACGAUGGUGCAUGCUUGAUGCAGCAGAGGAUCACAGGUGUAUUGCCGGCAGUUUCAAUUUAGCCAGGCGGUUGCCAUCAUCGUUAGACUUCACUGGAAGAACUGCAAUGGCUCUUUGUUCCAGCCAUAUCCGAUCUCCCGAGCCAGAGCUUUCAGGUCACUACAACACACUGUUUUCACGUCGCAUCGCACCAGCUCCUGGUGAGUUUGCUCACUUGAGUCAUAAUAGAGGGAGUAAGAAUGUCAGAAGGGAGAAGAACAAAAAAUCAUGCUGUCAGAGACGACAUCCAAACCAUUUUGUGUGUGUUGGAGUGAUUGAACCUUGUCAAUCAGAGCUGACAUCGCGUCUCCUUCCUCGUACAUAAUUUUUGGGUAGUUGUGCAUCUAUAUUCCAUUCUGUACACCAAGAGAUUAUGUUGUUUUCCUAUUACAAAAUUGAACUAUGUGAGACGUUGCUAUUUACUGAAGCAGUUACGAUCUAGUACAUCGUUAUCAUUCUCAACAACUUCAUAGUAAGCCAGUACAGAUUGAGAUCUGACAACUAUUGCUUAUCUGCGUUCAAGUUAGCUCAAUUGUUCUGACAUGCGAUCUUUUUUUCCUCUCGUGUUUAUUCUUGAGACAUUUUACAGAAAUAUAAAUAGCAGGCAAGCAAUCAGGUUGAUCAGAGCCAGACAGUUCACUGCAGUAAGCAAUGCAAUAUCGUGGCAGAUUGUUAUCGCUAGCAAUGACUCACUGAUCUCUGAUGUGGCUCUCAAUAGUGAUGCAUUACAAAAUGGACCGAUCCAUUAUCGUUAAUCUACUGCUGUCGGCUUCUUCCGAGCUACUAAUAUCAGGUUGUUUUAUUUCUGUUGAGUGGUUUAAGCUUCAAGGAUGCAACUGAAAUGUGAUCAAGUGGUUGUUCUCAACUUCUCAUUCAGUUCAUCCUGAUAAUCUGGCUAGAGAACUGUAUAUCAGUUUAUUAAGUUGGUUUCCUAUCUGUAAUGUAGUUUAUGUGUGAAUCCUGCAAGUCGUCAUGUUCAAUUGUGGUUGUCAUGUAGAAUUUGUAUUAAUCCUAGUGAGUGCAAACUAUAGGGUUAGUUGUGUUUGAUGUUGAAUCCCUGAUGAUCACAUUGUCGGAAAAUUAUUCCUGGUUUCCUUUCUGUUAGUCAGUUUUAAGUGUGAAUGGUACAAGUCAUAUUAUUUGAUUGUUCUUUUGUUAUCGAAUCUGCCCGAGCAUAUUGUCCACAAACUAUAUUUCUUUUCAAUAUGUCAGGCGUAUUUCAGUGAUUGUUUUGUUAAUGUUCAAAUUAGCUACAUUAAAACUAAAAUCAUAUGGGAAUCAGUGCGAUUUACAAGGACUCUUUGGGGAGAUACUUUGCAACUGUGAAACAGCAAUAAAUCAUGUAAGUUACGUCGCGGAGAUGGGCUACUUAGUUGAUCUCAACCAUUUUUCAAUUCACUUUUAAUCUGAAAAACUAUACCUGAUACUGAUCAUGACUUCUUUAGGUUCUGAGUGCUUAGAUUGAAAACAUCGAGACAAUUUUUUAUAUUGCAGUGGGGUUGGCUGCUGUAUUAUGGACGAUUUGGAGAUUUUUGAAUGAGGCAUGUUUUGAGAAUAAAAGCGGUGUCUGAUACUUUUGUUCUGAUUCAUGUGGUUUGUUAUUUGGUUAAACUCAAGCUAAAUUUUGCAGAUUAGCGCUGAUUUGGGGAGUAAAGCUCUUCGAGCAAGUGACAAAUCAAGUCUUUCAAGCUUCUCAAAGAUGGUGACCUGGAGUGGUUUGACUGGAAGCUUAAAAGCAAUUAAAGUGAAGAGAGGAAUCAAACUUUUAAAGCCACUCUUGCCAUUUGUGGACUGUUCCUGCUUGUUGGUGACUGCUUUUGCGAGUAUGUUCACUCUCAUCUAGCGAUGAAAUUUUUUGCUUCUGUUGUGCAGCUGCUGAAAGGGCAAACCCCAGAUCCUAGAUAUCUGUGGGUUUUGGGUGCCCUCUGGGGUUACCUGAAUGUUCCUAUUUCUGUUUUCUUCUUCCCUUUUUAGUUUUCUUCAUGCUGUAGAUGAACAAUUGGUUUCUGUUAAUAGAAUUCAGAGAGGAGGCUCUCUUUUAGAAAAUCUAAUGAGGGGGAGACUGAAUGACCGAGUGUAGAUGACACUGACCAAGUUUAUUAGUAUGCGAUCCUACAUGUCGCUCCAUUAA